rnacentral:lncRNA from 1 species
UGUUAUUUAAACUGGCCAACAUGUUGCUGUAAAGUCUGUUUUAUCAGAGACUAGGAUUGCAACCCCUGCUUUUUUUUUUGCUUUCCAUUUGUUUGGUAGAUCUGCCUCCUUCCCUUUAUUUUGAGCCUAUGUGUGUUUUUGCACGUGAGAUGGGUCUCCUGAAUACAGCACACUGAUGGGUGUUGACUCUUUCUCCAAUUUGCCAGUCUGUGUCUUUUAAUUGUGGCAUUUAGCCCAUUUACAUUUAAGGUUAAUAUUGUUAUGUGUGAAUUUGAUCCUGUCAUUUUGCUGUUAGCUGGUUAUUUUGCCUGUUAACUGAUGCAGUUUCUUCAUAGCGUCAAUGGUCUUUACAAUUUGGCAUGUUUUUGCAGUGGCUGGUACUGAUUGUUCCUUUCCAUGUUUAGUGCUUCCUUUAGGAGCUCUUGUAAGGCAGACCUGGUGGUGACAAAAUCUCUCAGCAUUUGGUUGUCUGUGAAGGAUUUUACUUCUCCCCCACAUAUGAAGCUUAGUUUGGCUGGAUAUGAGAUUCUGGGUUGAAAAUUAUUUUCUUUAAGAGUGUUGAAUAUUGGCCCCCACUGUCUUCUGGCUUGUGUGGUUUCUGCCAAGAGAUCCACUGUUAGUCUGAUGGGCUUCCCUUUGUGGGU